rnacentral:rRNA from 1 species
AUUGAACGCUGGCGGCAGGCUUAACACAUGCAAGUCGAGCGGAGCGAGGGUGCUUGCACCUUAGCUUAGCGGCGGACGGGUGAGUAAUGCUUAGGAAUCUGCCUAUUAGUGGGGGACAACAUUCCGAAAGGAAUGCUAAUACCGCGUACGCCCUACGGGGGAAAGCAGGGGAUCUUCGGACCUUGCGCUAAUAGAUGAGCCUAAGUCGGAUUAGCUAGUUGGGGGGGUAAGGGCCUACCAAGGCGACGCUCUGUAGCGGGUCUGAGAGGAUGAUCCGCCACACUGGGACUGAGACACGGCCCAGACUCCUACGGGAGGCAGCAGUGGGGAAUAUUGGACAAUGGGCGGAAGCCUGAUCCAGCCAUGCCGCGUGUGUGAAGAAGGCCUUUUGGUUGUAAAGCACUUUAAGCGAGGAGGAGGCUACUGGUACUAAUACUACUGGAUAGUGGACGUUACUCGCAGAAUAAGCACCGGCUAACUCUGUGCCAGCAGCCGCCGUAACAC